GCCAGGGUGGCUCAGUGGUAGAGCGUUGGCCUGUGCACCUAAGGGUCGAGGGUUCAAUUCCCAGUCAAGGGCA
rfam:Myotis brandtii contig286741, whole genome shotgun sequence.